GACGAACGCUGGCGGCGUGCUUAACACAUGCAAGUCGAACGGAAAGGCCCCUUUGGGGGUACUCGAGUGGCGAACGGGUGAGUAACACGUGAGUAACCUGCCCUUGACUUCUGGAUAACUUUAGGAAACUGGGGCUAAUACCGGAUAGGAAUCCUUGCUGCAUGGUGGGGGUUGGAAAGCUUCGGCGGUUUUGGUUGGACUCGCGGCUUAUCAGCUUGUUGGUGGGGUAGUGGCUUACCAAGGCUUUGACGGGUAGCCGGCCUGAGAGGGCGACCGGCCACAUUGGGACUGAGAUACGGCCCAGACUCCUACGGGAGGCAGCAGUGGGGAAUAUUGCACAAUGGGCGGAAGCCUGAUGCAGCAACGCCGCGUGCGGGAUGACGGCCUUCGGGUUGUAAACCGCUUUCAGCAGGGGCGAAGCUUUUGUGACGGUACCUGCAGAAGAAGCACCGGCUAACUACGUG
rnacentral:rRNA from 1 species